AGUUUUCUGUGCACGAGAAAAAGUUAUCUGUGCACAUGGUAAAAAAACAAAACAAAAAAAAACCUGGGAAGAGGAAAUUACGGAAGACACUCAUCUGCUGCAGUUUGCUGUCCGGACUCAGCCCUCAUACCGUGACUGUGGACGUCUAGUGUGCCCCCUUCUGAUUAUAAACUGGCUCUGAGCCGUCCUGGAAGACAUGGGUGUCCAGUGGGCUGCUUGAAGCCAUGCAGCGCAGCAGGACUGUGGGGAUGGGCCCUUCGAUGAUCUCGCCCUUUGAAAGACCACCAAUUUCCAGCCCUCCGAGCAGUAUUCUGAUUAUGAACUUGUUUUCCUUCUUCUAUUUAAGAGGUUUGGGGACCUUAGAUCUCAGAGCACAGGUAUCCGGAGAGUGUGGAGUCAGAAAAACAGCAAGAGGAAUGAAUAUCCAGGAAGCAAGUCAUCAAGCGGAGCCCACACACAGCAGGAAGCUGGGGCAGGAGGCAAGAUAAAGCUGUACCUCCUGGAGGGCCAAGUGUCUGCAUAACUGUCAUUCUUCUCCUGUGCUUGAAGAUCACAUGCAUCGCCAAGCUCGAGAUGAGAACAUGAGAUGACUCAGUGCAAAUCUUUGCCACAACUGGAACCAAGAGCACGUGUGGGACUCUGAGGAGGGCCUUGUCCUCCCCCUGUGCCUGAGUCACGAUCCUCAUGAAUGGACCACUCACCAUGCUGGACGUGGGAGAGUGUGGGUUUCUGUGGGGGAGUGUGUUCUGUAAAAUGGAAAUAUAAGAGAGCCAAACUCAGAAUCAUUUGAAGCCCGGUGAAAAGGAAUCUUAGGUUUUGUGUUUCCUGCCUUGGUAGAAAGAGAUCAGUCAGAGAAAAAAAGUUCAUAUCAAGAAUUUUUUUUUCCUUCAAAACCUGAAACAAACCAACCAUAAGUAAAACAGAGAAUUUCAAGCUUCAACUCAACUUACUUGUUUACUUCCUGUUCAUUCCAGAUUGUCAGGAAAAACAGAUCGUCAAAGUGGUACUCCAUGGUGUAUGUGUACUGAACUGCGUACAAGCCUAUGUCCUUGUGUUUUCAAGCAAAAACCUUUUCAUUUAAGCCUUUAGCCUCCCAGGCCUCAAGAUUUGAAAAUGAGGAAAUACUGAUACAGCUACAAACUAGUUGAAACAGUCUCCAUUAUGCUAGGACUUGCCUUGACCCACUAACUUACUCAAACUAGCCUUUCACAAAUGAUUUCCUCCUUGCUUAAUUGCUUUCUUUUACUAAUGAUUACUUUCUAGUUAAGGUUAUAUUGUAUGCCUAGUGUUUUCUUUUCCUUUGAGACACUCCCUAAGUCCCCAUUCCUUCCAUGAGCCAUCUUCUCUGCAGAGAGAAGGUCAAGGCGAGAUAACCCCAAAGACCACCAGAAACCAUCACUGGACACAUGACUUGAGCCUUGAUGAUUCUGAGGUGGUCUUUGGAGGGAGAAGAAUACAGGCACCUUGAUCCCUAUCAACAGCCCUUUUGUCUUCCAAGCUAAACCUAUAAAAAUCCCUUGC
rnacentral:lncRNA from 1 species